rnacentral:rRNA from 1 species
UUCGAGUGGCAGACGGGUGAGUAACGCGUGGGUAACCUGCCUUACACAGGGGGAUAACACCUGGAAACAGGUGCUAAUACCGCAUAAGCGCACAGGGCCGCAUGGCCCGGUGUGAAAAACUCCGGUGGUGUAAGAUGGACCCGCGUCUGAUUAGCUUGUUGGCGGGGUAGAGGCCCACCAAGGCGACGAUCAGUAGCCGGCCUGAGAGGGUGGACGGCCACAUUGGGACUGAGACACGGCCCAAACUCCUACGGGAGGCAGCAG